AAGCAACUUAGCAAGACCCUGUGUCAAAAUAAAAUGGGCUGGGGGUUUAGCUCAGUGAUUGAGCGCCGCUGGGUUUCAAUCUCCAAUGCCUCAAAAGGGGGGGUGGGGAAAGGAAAAGUAUUAGUGAGUGGCUCCAAGUAAGAGACAAAGUACUAAAUGAACUUUACAUGAUCUUGAUUUGGUCAAUAUGGACAUAAUUUUACAUUUUUUUUUUGAAUCUGUUAUUUGCUGGCAUUGAUUCCUGUGACAUAAAUAACAUGCUCAGGAAUAGGACUAGAAAUAAUUUGAAAUUGAAAGCAGUAUUCUUGGUGACUCUGAACUCCCCCCAUCAGCAGUCCAUGCAGAAUGACUACAUAAGAUAGUUUUCCGAAAGCAGUCUUUGGGGAUGUGUUUGUUAAAAAUAGUCCUUUAAUUAUAGAAGUAAUACAUGUUUGUUUUGUGGAAAAGAGAUCCAAACACUGGAGUAGACCACAAAGUACAAAAUCAAG
rnacentral:lncRNA from 1 species